UACGUAGGGGGCAAGCGUUGUCCGGAUUUAUUGGGCGUAAAGAGCGUGUAGGCGGCCAGACACGUCUGCUGUGAAAACUCGAGGCUCAACCUCGAGCUGUCGGUGGAAACUGUCUGACUAGAGUCCGGAAGAGGAGAGUGGAAUUCCUGGUGUAGCGGUGAAAUGCGCAGAUAUCAGGAAGAACACCUAUGGCGAAGGCAGCUCUCUGGGACGGUACUGACGCUGAGACGCGAAAGCGUGGGGAGCGAACAGG
rnacentral:rRNA from 1 species